UUGAUUGAUUUAUCAAUUUUCUCAGACGACCGGUUAUAAACAAGAGUUUGGUUGGUCUCUGGCGGGCGCUUGCCGGGCCGAAGACCGGCAGCCGAGGUUUGACCCCCGACGGUCCCGCCAAAGCAACAAGGUGUUUAAACAACAAAGGGUUGGAGGUCGGGCCGGUUAGGACCCUACUCUUUUAAUGAUCCUUCCGCAGGUUCACCUACGGAAA
rnacentral:misc_RNA from 1 species